GGCUGAAAUAAAUCAACAUAACAGAGUUUUAGAACAAAUAAUCAAUAUAAAGAUAAUUAAAAGUAAAUACAUAAUCUGAAAUAAUUUGGGGGAAAUAAUUCAGGAACAGAAUGAAGAGGGAAACCCUCAGGUUCUCCUCGAAAUAUUGUAAGUGAGUCAGAAAACAGGACCAGUAAUGGCAGAGGCAGAAGAGCGGCAGGAGACGGCGGUUACCCCACAGCAGAACGCUGCUCUGUGAGAAUCCCCCAGCAGGUACCCCAUUCCAGCUGUGGUUCGCCUACAGGCAGUCAGCCUCCCUGAACCUCUGCAGAGGGCAGGGAUAGUAGAUCUGCCCUUUAAGACCCAUGCAGAGGUGCUGAAAUGACAGUAUUGGUACUCUGGAUACAAUGGAAAGUUCAUUAGGGCUGAUAUUAAUGGUAGUCACUGUCAUAUUUUCAGUUGCUUUCAGCAGUAUUUGGGCCCCAGGAUACUGAUGUUUGCUCAAUACAUGAGCCUGCAGAAGUAACUGGGAGCAAACACCUGAUAUCAGUAUUAAGCAUGUGGUGCCGAGAACAAUAUGUUACAGAAUACUGCAGACCCACUUAAAUCAUUCUUUUGUCUAAGAAUGUGGGGUGUUCAGUGGAUAAGUGAGAGUCCAUGGAUUUUGCUCUAUGGCUGAUGAAAGGAACGUGAUGUGUGACAUUUAGCACCGGUGUCAGGAAUGGCUCUCCUGUUGGCAAACUUAUUUCGCACGUGCCUAUUCAUCAUCUAUCCUGGGCACCUCACUCAGGUCCUCAUGAGUCCCCUGUCUUCUCAGCAAGCAUUACCUCUCUACUCAGACCAAGGCCUUGUGAGGGAUGGAGGGUCACUAAGAUGCACUUCCUGUCCUGAAGACAUUGUCAGUCUCCUGGGGAAGACGGACUUCAAGAGAACAAAGACGAACACUGGAUCCCUACUGGAUUUGGAGGUCUACAGAGAGGGCUGCAUUUUGUCCAGAAUUUGGAAGCUUAUCAGACACAGGGGCCAGGAACAGAAGCCUCCCACAAGCCCAGAAGGACAUACUUAAUGCACAGCACUGAUUGCUACAGGGACCAAGAUGGGGACUUACAGAUUCCAAGUGGUCACACUGAAGGAACUCCGAUGUGUUUCUUCAUCUUUACCUUCACUGUGCAGUCGCUGCGUAGGUCAUAUCUGCUGCAUCCAUGCAGGAACAGGAAUGUGUAGCUCCGUAGGGCUGAGGAUCCCAGCAGUGCCUGAAGCAAGCUUGAAUGAUCCAGGGCCCUGACAAACGUCUCUCAUGAUGCGCCUGUGGAAGCUCAGUCCAUGUGUGUCAGAGAUGACCAUAUUGCUGGGAGUUCUCUGAACUGACACGGUGUUUAUUAAGUUAUCAGUAAUGACUACAUGCUCACCUGAAGCUCAUGUACCUAUCACUGAAGCUUUGGUAACUGCAGCAAUUGUUCAGAACUCUCACCAGAAAAGAUUUUGUGGGAAAAGAGCAUGUCAUGAUUGACAUUGUGGGGAAUUCCUAGUGUGCAGUGACAAUAAAGAGCAGGCUCACUGGUGCUUGGUUUUAUUAUUGUUUUAAAAUCCCCCACAGAUGAUGAGCCCCCUUCUAGCCUGCGCCAGGGCAGACCCCUUGCUCACCCCGUCCUUGGUGCUCUGCUGGGAUGGCACUUCUCACUGCCCUUAUGUUAUUUUUUUGCCCCCAAGUUCCACUGAAUUCUGGUAUAACAUCUCCAAAAUCGAGCAGCAUGUCUCAAGAAUGAAAGCUGGAAUAAUUCAGAACAUAACCAUUGUGAGCCAAAGUCUCCCUUCUUGGUUUCUAAAGGGAUGAGAGAGAAAGCAAGGAUGUGUAUGUGUGUGCAAAUGUGACUGUGUGUUAGACGGCAAUGGGAACUGAAGGCUGUGGGGACAGAACCAGGAGAAAGAGGUUUUGUUGGAAACUUGAAUUCAGUAAGCAAUGUAUUUGGCUUCCCUAUGCCUUGCUUUCCUCCUCUACUAAAUGCCAGGGAGGCAUUGUGAGAAUUAAGAGAAAAUCUUCAUGAAGGCCUUCAGCACUUUAGCUGCCUGAGAAGCAAGUACUCAAUAAAAGCUAGCUCUGCAAUAACAAGGCUAUAAGCAUCUCUAUGUACGUCUCCUGGGAACAAAACCACAGAAAGACAUCGUGGCCACUAACUGGGGAGCCCACCAUGCUGACCGUGAGUCUGGCAUUGUUCCACCUUGAAGGCUUUUCCACUGAGCAUGACGGAGAUGUGCUGUUGUCAUGGUGCCACGACAUUAACCUCAUCCCACACAAGCUGUGGGGCAGUGACUCAUAGCGACAGGUGGCCAGGCGGUUUACACAAGGAGGGUGAGGUCUCUCAGAUCUUGGAGAAUUGAGCAUUAGACAGGUACAAGCACAGUUUAAGUA
rnacentral:lncRNA from 1 species